rnacentral:lncRNA from 1 species
CAGAUUUCUGGCGGAAAAAUGAGCUUCCCCAUCUCAUCGGUGGCUAAAGGAAGCAUAAGGCUAAUCUUAGAGGUGUGCUCCCCUUACCGUCUCAGCAGGCAAGCAUCACCUUGGAGUUUGCUGGAAUCCACAUUCCCCACCAGACCCCAGGGCCUGUGUAUUACAACACAAGGAAGUCCAGUGCCUGGCUGGGCAGCAGGAAACACAUGCAGUAAGGUCACACAGGCAUGGACUGGAACCUGUAGGAAGCCCACUACAGUUCUGCAACAAUGGAUGAGAAGACCUGGCAAGCUCCUUGAGACUAGAGGAUUUCAUCUGCUCUGGACACUGUCCCAAACAGCGCUUGGAUGCACAGUGCUUCCUUUAGAAGAACUUGUUUAGUUUCUGAACCGGAAACUUGUGGGAGAAUCUUGAAAUAGCCCCGGCUCAAGCUGUUUAUUUUUAGAAGCGUCCGUCGUCACUCCUGGGCGAUGCUUUGACUUGGAUUCUCUGGUGACAUCUUUUUAGCAUUGGUCAUUCCAGCCUGGGCUGUGGUUUCAGCACACUCCAAGUGUAAAGCUGACGGCAGCAUUUGAGCAGAGGGAAGUUAGGAGAGCUUUUAAAACUUGGAGAGCUUAUAAAAAAAAAAUCUACCAGUGCUGAGAAGAUAUAAAGGCACGUUAAUACCAAAGGUCAAAUGUAUGGCUUCUCUUAUCUUCUUCCUGACGAAGAAAUCACUUUUAAUCUAAAGAACAUGCCCCAGUAAUUUCCAAAUGUAAACAGAUGGGAUUUGAAAGCGGACGGAUUGACGUGCCUGUGUUUGCUCAACACAAACCAAUAAAAGAGAGCGGUCGUUC